rnacentral:lncRNA from 12 species
GCUGAUUCCUGGGUACUGCCUUUUCUUGUUCAGUGCCUGCAAAGCUGAUCUCCCAUCCUGAAAGAAGUCAGCUGCACAGCAAGGAAACCAAAAAGGCUCAAGUGCCUAGGGAGCAUCACGAAGCACCAUGUGGCUCCUGUGGGUCUCUGCUGUCUCUCCUCUCAGGCAAGGCCUGCAAGCAAAUGCAAAUUGUAAUUUUAUUCACUGCUCUUCAAGCCAGAAAUAGAAUGCUUGCUUCUGAGGAGUUCAUCUGUGCCUUCUGGCGCUUCCACUGCUGUUAUCACAAACAGAUGAUCAUGACUUGACAUGGAGAACCAGCUGAGAGAGCUGACAAACCCUGCUGAAGCAAAAGGCCUGCCUGGUGAUUCAGAAAAGAAUAUUCUCUCAGGAGGACUCACAGACCAAGGCUUCUGGACACUGACCUACAUUUGCCAUAGAAUUGCUAAAUAAUCUGUCACCUUAACUUGUUCGUGUGUGCUGGUGUACAAGCACAUAUUCUCUAGUUCAUAUAUGUCCUGCAUAUAAUUUUUGUAAUUAUUACUUCUUC